UUGCAGGAAAAUAUCAAUAAACCCAGAUUUUCCGUCCCAGAGCCUGUAAAGGUGAACCCACUGGGGCUGGCUGGGGGAGAAGAGGAAAGCUUGUUACAGAGGGAACUGUCUGAGGGAU
rnacentral:snoRNA from 1 species